UGCCCUACGGGGCGCAGCAGUGAGGAAUAUUGGUCAAUGGGAGGAAUCCUGAACCAGCCAUGCCGCGUGCAGGACGACGGCUCUACGAGUUGUAAACUGCUUUUGUACCGGGGUAAAAUGCCUUACGAGUAGGGUUUUGAAAGUACGGUACGAAUAAGGAUCGGCUAACUCCGUGCCAGCAGCCGCGGUAAUACGGAGGAUCCGAGCGUUAUCCGGAUUCAUUGGGUUUAAAGGGUGCGUAGGCGGUUUGAUAAGUCAGUGGUGAAAGCCUAGAGCUUAACUCUAGUAAGCCAUUGAAACUGUCG
rnacentral:rRNA from 1 species